GACGAACGCUGGCGGCGGGCCUAAUACAUGCAAGUUGAGCGCCAGCGCAUUGAGCGUGUGCUCUCAGGGGGGGCGACGGACGGGCGGGUAACGAGUGGGGCAUCAGCUUUUUAUCGGGGGACAACAUUUGGAGACGAAUGCUAAUAAUGCAUCAAACCUUUAACCACAGAUAUUAAGGUUGCAUGGUGCCAUUGCAUCACUCAAAGACUGUCCGACGUUGAGUUAGUUAGUGGGGUAGGUAACGGCCAAGGAAGGCGAGGGUCCGUGGCGGGCCUGAGAGGAUGAUCAGCCACACUGGAACUGAGACACGGUCCAGACUCCUACGGGAGGCAGCAGUGGGGAAUAUUGGACAAUGGGCGCAAGCCUGAUCCAGCCAUACCGCGUGGGUGAAGAAGGCCUUCGGGUUUUAAAGCCCUUUUGUUGGGAAAGACGAUCAGCAGGGUAAUACCCCGAUGUUCUGACGGUACCCAAAGAAUAAGCACCGGCUAACUUCGUG
rnacentral:rRNA from 1 species